AUCCUACGGGGCGCAGCAGUGGGGAAUAUUGCACAAUGGGGGAAACCCUGAUGCAGCGACGCCGCGUGGGCGAGGAAGUACCUCGGUAUGUAAAGCCCUAUCAGCAGGGAAGAAACAGGACAGUACCUGACUAAGAAGCCCCGGCUAACUACGUGCCAGCAGCCGCGGUAAUACGUAGGGGGCAAGCGUUAUCCGGAUUUACUGGGUGUAAAGGGGGCGCAGACGGCGAUGCAAGCCAGGAGUGAAAGCCCGGGGCCCAACCCCGGGACUGCUCUUGGAACUGCGUGGCUGGAGUGCAGGAGGGG
rnacentral:rRNA from 1 species